AAGGAAAUGGCUCUUCACAAACCCUCUCUCUGAGAAGGCGGGGUUCGAUGUCUAAAAAAGAGGUACGAGGCUUUUGCAGAAAGAAGUAGAAGAGGAGAGGAGAAGAGCAGAGCAGAGAGGAGGCUUUAAGAAUUGAUCAAAGAAGAAAUCAAUGAAGAGGAUGGCCUUCACUUCUUGCCUUCUAUCUUGAUCGCAACGGCCGUAUUCUGGUCAAAACAUUCUCUUCCCACCAAAGUGAUGAGGAUCAUCUUGAGUUUAAAAUUGCAAGGGCCUGUUUGGAUGUACCCUCCAGAAGGGCGUUUGAGGCCUAAAAGCCAUUUUUGACCCAGAUGGGAGUUGAUCUUGGGCGUUUUGAUGCACUUUAUGAAACCCUGUCUCAUCUUUGACAAGGUAAGCGAUAAGAUGAUGACUAGGCAAAAACCAAUGGAUCAUUUUGUUUUUGAGUUUUGGAGGUGGGUUUUGCUAGAAUUUCUAUUUUGAACUGGUUUUGGUGAUGUUUCUAUGAUGAUUUCAUGGAGAUUGAGAUUGUAUGAGUAUUGGAAUCAGACUGCAUUUUUAUUUUUAUUUGUAGAAUGUUAGAAAUAUAUAGAGUAAAUUGGCUCUCUUUGAAUGUA